rnacentral:rRNA from 1 species
GACGAACGCUGGCGGCGUGCUUAACACAUGCAAGUCGAACGAUGAAGGAGAGAGCUUGCUCUUUUUGGAUUAGUGGCGAACGGGUGAGUAACACGUGAGCAAUCUGCCCUUCACACUGGGAUAACCCUCGGAAACGAGAGCUAAUACCAGAUAUGACCACUUCGGGCAUCCGAUGGUGGUGGAAAGUUCCGGCGGUGAAGGAUGAGCUCGCGGCCUAUCAGCUUGUUGGUGAGGUAAUGGCUCACCAAGGCUUCGACGGGUAGCCGGCCUGAGAGGGUGACCGGCCACACUGGGACUGAGACACGGCCCAGACUCCUACGGGAGGCAGCAGUGGGGAAUAUUGCACAAUGGGCGCAAGCCUGAUGCAGCAACGCCGCGUGAGGGAUGACGGCCUUCGGGUUGUAAACCUCUUUUAGUAGGGAAGAAGCGUAAGUGACGGUACCUGCAGAAAAAGCACCGGCUAACUACGUGCCAGCCGCCGCAGUAACAC